rnacentral:lncRNA from 1 species
UAUGGAAAACUGGGUCGAGCGGUUUCUUUUGGCUCACAAUUAUCCUAGAGUGAGGACUUGCAGUAGAAGAACUGUUUAACCUGAUGCAGCUGUUUAUAGCUCAGAGGCCAGAUAUGAGAGAAGAAGAAUUAGAAGAUAUUAAACAGUUCAAGAAAACAACCAUAAGUUGUUACUUACGUUGCUUAGAUGGCCGCUCCUGCUGGACUACUUUAAUAAGUGCCUUCAGAAUACUAUUAGAAUCUGAUGAAGACAGACUUCUUGUUGUAUUUAAUCGAGGAUUGAUUCUAAUGACAGAGUCUUUCAACACUUUGCACAUGAUGUAUCACGAAGCUACAGCUUGCCAUGUGACUGGAGAUUUAGUAGAACUUCUGUCAAUAUUUCUUUCGGUUUUGAAGUCUACACGCCCUUAUCUUCAGAGAAAAGAUGUGAAACAAGCAUUAAUCCAGUGGCAGGAGCGAAUUGAAUUUGCCCAUAAACUGUUAACUCUUCUUAAUUCCUAUAGUCCUCCAGAACUUAGAAAUGCCUGUAUAGAUGUCCUCAAGGAACUUGUACUUUUGAGUCCCCAUGAUUUUCUUCAUACUCUGGUUCCCUUUCUACAACACAACC